rnacentral:rRNA from 1 species
UGGGAAUAUUGGGCAAUGGGCGCAAGCCUGACCCAGCAACGCCGCGUGAAGGAAGAAGGCUUUUCGGGUUGUAAACUUCUUUUGACAGGGAAGAGCAGAAGACGGUACCUGUCGAAUAAGCCACGGCUAACUACGUGCC